rnacentral:lncRNA from 1 species
CUUGGACAGUUUCUCAUUGCUGGGUCUCCACUCCUAGCUGUUACUGCAAGUCCAUGCCUCUACCAUGAGGGUGGAGGAGUUAAGAUCAACAGAUCCACAUGUACCUUGAGGUGACAGACUGGCUCUGCCGCCCCCAGCUGCUCAACUUAUCCGCCGCCGCUCGUGCCCGCUUCCAGCCUGCGUAGACCCGGCCGUGGUCGUCCG